rnacentral:misc_RNA from 1 species
GAUGAAGAACGUAGUGAAAUGCGAUAAGUAAUGUGAAUUGCAGAAUUCAGUGAAUCAUCGAAUCUUUGAACGCACAUUGCGCCCGCCAGUAUUCUGGCGGGCAUGCCUGUUCGAGCGUCAUUACAACCCUCAGGCCCCCGGGCCUGGCGUUGGGGAUCGGCGGAGCCCCCCGUGGGCACACGCCGUCCCCCAAAUGCAGUGGCGGUCCCGCCGCAGCUUCCAUCGCGUAGUAGCUAACACCUCGCGACUGGAGAGCGGCGCGGCAACGCCGUAAAACACCCAACUCUUCUGAAGUUGACCUCGAAUCAGGUAGGAAUACCCGCUGAACUUAAGCAUAUCAAUAAGCGGAGGA